rnacentral:rRNA from 1 species
GAUUAUGGCUCAGGAUGAACGCUAGCGACAGGCUUAACACAUGCAAGUCGAGGGCAGCAUAGAAGUAGCAAUACUUGGUGGCGACCGGCGCACGGGUGAGUAACGCGUAUGCAACCUACCUAUCAGAGGGGAAUAACCCGGCGAAAGUCGGACUAAUACCGCAUAAAACAGGGGCACCGCAUGGUGAUAUUUGUUAAAGAAAUUCGCUGAUAGAUGGGCAUGCGUUCCAUUAGGUAGUUGGUGAGGUAACGGCUCACCAAGCCGACGAUGGAUAGGGGAACUGAGAGGUUGGUCCCCCACACUGGUACUGAGACACGGACCAGACUCCUACGGGAGGCAGCAGUGAGGAAUAUUGGUCAAUGGGCGGGAGCCUGAACCAGCCAAGUCGCGUGAAGGAAGAAGGAUCUAUGGUUCGUAAACUUCUUUUGCAGGGGAAUAAAGUGCAGGACGUGUCCUGUUUUGUAUGUACCCUGAGAAUAAGGAUCGGCUAACUCCGUGCCAGCCGCCGC